UACGUAGGGUGCAAGCGUUAAUCGGAAUUACUGGGCGUAAAGCGUGCGCAGGCGGUGAUGUAAGUCAGUUGUGAAAUCCCCGGGCUCAACCUGGGAACUGCAUCUGUGACUGCAUCGCUGGAGUGCGGCAGAGGGGGAUGGAAUUCCGCGUGUAGCAGUGAAAUGCAUAGAUAUGACCCGGAACACCGAUUGCGAAGGCAGCCCGCUAAGCAACUAUUGACGCUGAGGCACGAAAGCGUGGGGAUCAAACAGG
rnacentral:rRNA from 1 species